GAUCUGGUGGGGCUGGUGGGGCUCGUUAGGUCGUGGGGGCUCAUUAAGGCUCGUUAGGGCUCAUGAAGGACCUGGUGGGGCUCGUUAGGGCUGGUGAAGGACCUGGUGGGGCUCAUUAGGUCGUGGGGGCUCGUUAGGGCUCAUUAGAGCUGGUGAAGGACCUGGUGGGGCUCGUUAGGUUGUGGGGGCUCAUUAAGGCUCAUUAGAGCUGGUGAAGGACCUGGUGGGGCUCAUUAGGUGGUGGGGGCUCAUUAGGGGCUGGUGAAGGACCUGGUGGGGCUCAUUAAGUGAUGGGGGCUCAUUAAGGCUCGUUAGGGAUGGUGAAGGACCUGGUGGGGCUCGUUAGGCUGUGGGGGCUCGUUAAGGGUCAUUAAUUAGUGGGACUCAGCUUUUGGGGCUCAUUAAGUCGUUGGGUGAUGGGGAACCCUGGGGUGGAGUUUAAUGAGCUUAAUGAGGUCACUGAGGUUAAUGAGGUUAAUGGGGCCCAUGGGGUUAACGAGGUCAAUGGUUAAUGAGCUUAAUAACCUUAAUGAGGUCAAUGGGUUAAUGAUUUUAAUGAAGUCAGGGGGGUUAAUGGGGUUAAUGAGGUUCAUGGCACUAACAGGGUCAAUGGGUUGAUGAGGUCAGUGGGGUUAAUGAGGUUAAUGAGUUGAUGUUAAUGAGGUCAGUGGGUUAAUGAGGUUCACAAGGUUAGUGGCUUAAUGAGGUCAAUGGGUUGGGGUUAAUGAGGUUAACGAAGUUAAUGAGUUGGGCUUGGGGUUAAUGAGGUGAACGAGGUUAAUGAGUUGGGCUUGGGGUUAAUGAGGUGAAUGAGGUUAACGAGGUUAAUGAGAUUAACGAAGUUAAUGAGUUGGGCUUGGGGUUAAUGAGGUUAACGAGGUCAGUGAGUUUAAUGAAGGAGCUCCCUGGGGGUCCCGGACCCUUCCUGGGGCAUCCCCUCCCCCUCCUCCCCUCCCCUCCCCCCCCGGCCCCUCCCCCCCCCCCGCGGGGGGCGGGGCCGAUGUACAGAUUUUAUAGGGGGGGAGGGGCCGGCGCGUUUUUAAUUAACGGCGAUUUCGGGGCUAAUAAAGGAGGAUUUGGUUAA